CUCGUUGAUGCUUCACAGAGUCUCGCCUUCGUCUACAGCAGCAGCCUGAAAAAAACAUGGAAUAUGCGAGGCAAUUUAUGGCUAUCAGCGGUAAUCAGCGGGUUAUUUUGAAGCAGAAGACGUAAAAAAUGUGCAAUGUCUUCGCAGGGACUCGAAUCCAGGACUUCUCGAAUACGCAUCGAAUAUGCUUCCAGUUACACCAGGAAGACAUGACGAAAGAAGUCGAAGCCCAGAAACUUUGUGGCCGCGAGUCCAAAAACAGAUCAACCUUAUUUUGGAUGUCCUGUGCAGAAUGGAAGAAUGUUUACAGAAAUGGAAUGUUUAUGAACUAUUUAAUAGAAUGAAAGAUUGCUUAACCCUUGAAAACUUUCCUUUAUACUUAUAAAGAAUAAGUGUAAAGGAUGUUUGCAAGGAUCACUUGCCUAAAGAAAGGGAUGUCUUCGUGGAAGACUUCCUAAGAGAAACUGUUUUCUAUCCACAUUACAGAUGGAGUAAACCAUGAAGACUGCCACGCAACCAAUCCGUUCGCAGGGACUUAAAUCCGAGCUGAAACUACCAAUACUCAGCCAUUUAUCUCGGCCGCUGGUGGGCUUCAAAAGAAAGAUGAACAUAUUUUAAUUCUAAAUGUUUAAAAAAAAUUAAUCACCAUACGAAGUUUAAUUCUUCUAUUUAACUCAUCAUCCUAAAAUUGAAUUAAAUUUAGAUUCUUCCAUAUUUCAUUUUUCAACCAGACUAAACCCAUACUUCACCCACAACAUCUGCGUUACUAGCGAUGUGUUAAAAAUAACAAUAAACUGAAUAUUAAAUAUGAUGUGAUAGCACAAAAUACAAAUCGAAACGUACAAGAAGCUAGAAAUCCUUGGACUUUCACAUUUAACUUCGAGGUCAAGGGAUUUAAAAUCAUUUUUUAUGGUUAUUUCCCUCAAAACCCACACAUCCAUUAAAAGGAAGCAUGAGUUGUUUCGCAUGCAUUUUAGCAGACAGCAAAUAAGAAGAGAACAUUAAAAUCAUAAACAGGUUUCAGCAGAUAAUGUUACAAAUGAUGGAACAUUGGAAGAGAGUGUUUUUGGAUGCAUCAUAAUUGGCAUACAACUUGACUGACAUUUAAACCAGAAUUAAAACACGCAGUGAUAAAGAAACAUUUUAAAUUUUAAAUUCUGACAAUAUGUUAAUAAUGCUUGCCCUCUCUGUUGUUCCAUGCGAGGAAACUGAAUUUUUGGACAGAAUGCAAAGGUUAAAAAUACGCAAAGCAAAACACCGAACAAUGGCGGUUUAUUAAAUUCAUUAUUUUGUAGCGAAAAUCUCUCGAUAUUUCGUUCAUUCGCUGUACUCAAUGUGUAAAUAAAUAUGCUCAG